rnacentral:rRNA from 1 species
AUUGAACGCUGGCGGCAGGCCUAACACAUGCAAGUCGAACGAGUGGCGGACGGGUGAGUAAUGUCUGGGAAACUGCCUGAUGGAGGGGGAUAACUACUGGAAACGGUAGCUAAUACCGCAUACCAUCGGAUGUGCCCAGAUGGGAUUAGCUAGUAGGUGGGGUAACGGCUCACAUAGGCGACGAUCCCUAGCUGGUCUGAGAGGAUGACCCGCCACACUGGAACUGAGACGCGGUCCAGACUCCUAGGGGAGGCAGCAGGGGGGAAGUUUGCACAAGGGGCGCAAGCCGGAGGCAGCCAGGCCGCGUGUAUGAAGAAGUCCUUGGGAUUGUAAAGUACUUUCAGCGUGGAGGCGUUACCCGCAGAAGAAGCCCCGGCUAACUCCGUGCCAGCAGCCGCGGUAAUUC